AACGCACCUUGCACUCUUUGGUAUUCCGAAGAGUAUGUCUGUUUGAGUGUCAUGAAACUCUCAACCCCCCUGUUUUGUAAUGGAACAGGCUGUGGGCUUGGAUUAUGGCUGUCUGCUGGCUUUAAAUAGUCGGCUCGGCUAAAAUACACGAGCGACCGCAUGAAUUAAUAACGGCUUGACUCGGCGUAAUAACUAUUUCGCUGAGGACGUUUCCAAUUCAACUGGUGCUUCUAAUGCAUCAUAUAAUUUUAAGCUUUAGACCUCAAAUCAGUCAGGACUACCCGCUGAACUUAA
rnacentral:misc_RNA from 3 species